rnacentral:lncRNA from 1 species
UUGUUUGCUGUACUGGGAGCAUUCACAUUCCAGCUUAAACUACUGGUCAACUUGAAGUGUGUUACAGACAAAUAUAUUAAAACUCUUCUAUAAUGAAUUCAUUUGCACUUAAUAGCAGGCUGAAAUACUUUCUUUUUGAGAUUUUAUAUGAUAACAUGAUCCGGCUUCAAUUUUUAUAUGGUCUAUGUAUAAACUACACCGAUGACCUAUCCCUAAGUGAAGUACUAACUCUUGCGGAUUGUACAACAUUAUUCUCAAAUACCUUCCACAAAAACAUAUAGAAGGAUUGUGUUGCCACAUCAUCAUCAAGAUUUAGAGACUUUGCUCGAAGAAGAAACAAGGAGGCAAGUGCACUAUGGCCUAUCACCUGGAAGAAGAAAGAUAUGUAAGGAAUUAAGCAGGCCACUAAGACUACUUCUUGAUCGUGUCGGUUUCCAUCUGUUUGUAUAAAGUUGUUUAAUUAUUGUAAAGAAUCAUAUAACUUACAGACACAAUUUUGCAUAUUAGAAACGAGGAUGAAGCUCCAACCACCACACCAGAACCAUAGGCAAACAGCAGGAUGCCUCCACAAAUAGAAAAGACCUGCAAAGAGAGGAACAAGAGCA